rnacentral:rRNA from 1 species
GAAAGGCCUGCAGCUUGCUGCGGGUACUCGAGUGGCGAACGGGUGAGUAACACGUGGGUGAUCUGCCUUGCACUUCGGGAUAAGCUUGGGAAACUGGGUCUAAUACCGGAUAGGACAGCUGUUUAGUGUCAGUUGUGGAAAGUUUUUUCGGUGCAAGAUGAGCUCGCGGCCUAUCAGCUUGUUGGUGGGGUAAUGGCCUACCAAGGCGUCGACGGGUAGCCGGCCUGAGAGGGUGUACGGCCACAUUGGGACUGAGAUACGGCCCAGACUCCUACGGGAGGCAGCAGUGGGGAAUAUUGCACAAUGGGCGGAAGCCUGAUGCAGCGACGCCGCGUGGGGGAUGAAGGCCUUCGGGUUGUAAACUCCUUUCGACAGGGACGAAGCGUAAGUGACGGUACCUGUAUAAGAAGCACCGGCUAACUACGUGCCAGCAGCCGCGGUAAUACGUAGGGUGCGAGCGUUGUCCGGAAUUACUGGGCGUAAAGAGCUCGUAGGUGGUUUGUCGCGUCGUCUGUGAAAUUCCGGGGCUUAACUCCGGGCGUGCAGGCGAUACGGGCUGACUUGAGUGCUGUAGGGGAGACUGGAAUUCCUGGUGUAGCGGUGAAAUGCGCAGAUAUCAGGAGGAACACCGAUGGCGAAGGCAGGUCUCUGGGCAGUAACUGACGCUGAGGAGCGAAAGCAUGGGUAGCGAACAGGAUUAGAUACCCUGGUAGUCCAUGCCGUAAACGGUGGGCGCUAGGUGUAGGGGGCUUCCACGUCUUCUGUGCCGUAGCUAACGCAUAAGCGCCCCGCCUGGGAGU